AACGAGCGCUGGCGGUAUGCUUAACACAUGCAAGUCGAACGAACAAAAUUGGGGCUUGCUCCAAUUUUAGUGAGUGGCAAACGGGUGAGUAACACGUGGGAAUCUACCUAUCAGUACGGAAUAACAUUUGGAAACAGAUGCUAAUACCGUAUAUUCUCCAAGGAGGAAAGAUUUAUCGCUGAUAGAUGAGCCCGCGUAAGAUUAGGUAGUUGGUAGGGUAAUGGCCUACCAAGCCGACGAUCUUUAGCUGGUCUGAGAGGAUGAUCAGCCACACUGGGACUGAGACACGGCCCAGACUCCUACGGGAGGCAGCAGUGGGGAAUAUUGGACAAUGGGCGAAAGCCUGAUCCAGCAAUACCGCGUGAAUGAUGAAGGCCUUAGGGUUGUAAAGUUCUUUUAGUUGGAAAGAUAAUGACGGUACCAACAGAAAAAGCCCCGGCUAACUCCGUGCCAGCAGCCGCCGCGG
rnacentral:rRNA from 1 species